AUUGAACGCUUGCGGCAGGCCUAACACAUUCAAGUCGAACGAGUGGCGGACGGGUGAGUAAUGUCUGGGAAACUGCCUGAUGGAGGGGGGUAACUACUGGAAACGGUGGCUAAUACCGCAUACCAUCAGAUUUGCCCAGAUGGGCUUAGCUGGUUGGUGGGGUAACGGCUAACCAAGGCGCCGUUCCCUAGCUGGGCUGAGAGGAUGACCAUCCACACUGGAACUGGAACACGGUCCGAACUCCUACGGGAGGCAGCAGUGGGGAAUGUUGCACAAUGGGCGCAAGCCUGAUACAGCCAUGCCGCGUGUAUGAAGAAGGCCUUCGGGUUGUAAAGUACUUUCAGCGGGGAGGCGUUACCCGCAGAAGAAGCACCGGCUAACUCCGUGCCAGCAGCCGCGGUAAUAC
rnacentral:rRNA from 1 species